UCCUGGCUCAGGAUGAACGCUGGCGGCGUGCCUAAUACAUGCAAGUCGAGCGAACUGAUUAGAAGCUUGCUUCUAUGACGUUAGCGGCGGACGGGUGAGUAACACGUGGGCAACCUGCCUGUAAGACUGGGAUAACUUCGGGAAACCGAAGCUAAUACCGGAUAGGAUCUUCUCCUUCAUGGGAGAUGAUUGAAAGAUGGUUUCGGCUAUCACUUACAGAUGGGCCCGCGGUGCAUUAGCUAGUUGGUGAGGUAACGGCUCACCAAGGCAACGAUGCAUAGCCGACCUGAGAGGGUGAUCGGCCACACUGGGACUGAGACACGGCCCAGACUCCUACGGGAGGCAGCAGUAGGGAAUCUUCCGCAAUGGACGAAAGUCUGACGGAGCAACGCCGCGUGAGUGAUGAAGGCUUUCGGGUCGUAAAACUCUGUUGUUAGGGAAGAACAAGUACGAGAGUAACUGCUCGUACCUUGACGGUACCUAACCAGAAAGCCACGGCUAACUACGUGCCAGCAGCCGCGGUAAUACGUAGGUGGCAAGCGUUAUCCGGAAUUAUUGGGCGUAAAGCGCGCGCAGGCGGUUUCUUAAGUCUGAUGUGAAAGCCC
rnacentral:rRNA from 2 species